AUUGAACGCUGGCGGCAUGCCUUACACAUGCAAGUCGGACGGCAGCGCGGGGGCAACACUGGCGGCGAGUGGCGAACGGGUGAGUAAUACAUCGGAACGUGUCCUGGAGUGGGGGAUAGCCCGGCGAAAGCCGGAUUAAUACCGCAUACGCUCUAUGGAGGAAAGCGGGGGACCGAAAGGCCUCGAGCUCAAGGAGCGGCCGAUAGCGGAUUAGCUAGUUGGUGGGGUAAAGGCCCCCCAAGGCACCGAUCCGUAGCUGGGUCUGAGAGGACGACCAGCCACACUGGGACUGAGACACGGCCCAGACUCCUACGGGAGGCAGCAGUGGGGAAUUUUGGACAAUGGGGGCAACCCUGAUCCAGCAAUGCCGCGUGUGUGAAGAAGGCCUUCGGGUUGUAAAGCACUUUUGUCCGGAAAGAAAACUUCGUCCCUAAUAUGGAUGGAGGAUGACGGUACCGGAAGAAUAAGCACCGGCUAACUACGUGCCAGCAGCCGCGGUAAGAC
rnacentral:rRNA from 1 species